CCUACGGGUGGCAGCAGUGGGGAAUAUUUGGCAAUGGGCGCAAGCCUGACCCAGCAACGCCGCGUGAAGGAAGAAGGCUCUCGGGUUGUAAACUUCUUUUAUCAGGGACGAAGCAAGUGACGGUACCUGAUGAAUAAGCCACGGCUAACUACGUGCCAGCAGCCGCGGUAAUACGGAGGUGGCAAGCAUUAUCCGGAUUUAUUGGGUGUAAAGGGCGUGUAGGCGGGAAAGCAAGUCAGAUGUGAAAACCAUGGGCUCAACCUGUGGCCUGCAUUUGAAACUGUUUUUCUAGAGUACUGGAGAGGGAGACGGAAUUCCUAGUGUAGCGGUGAAAUGCGUAGAUAUUAGGAGGAACACCAGUGGCGAAGGCGGGCUGCUGGACAGCAACUGACGCUGAGGCGCGAAAGCGAGGGGAGCAAACAGGAUUAGAUACCCGGGUAGUC
rnacentral:rRNA from 1 species